GACGAACGCUGGCGGCGUGCUUAACACAUGCAAGUCGAGCGGUAAGGCCCUUUCGGGGGUACACGAGCGGCGAACGGUGAGUAACACGUGGGUGACCUGCCCUCAGCUCUGGGAUAAGCCUGGGAAACCGGGUCUAAUACCGGAUAUGACUCCAUGACGCAUGUUGUGGGGUGGAAAGCCUUGUGCGGCUGAGGAUGGGCCCGCGGCCUAUCAGCUUGUUGGUGGGGUNAUGGCCUACCAAGGCGACGACGGGUAGCCGGCCUGAGAGGGCGACCGGCCACACUGGGACUGAGACACGGCCCAGACUCCUACGGGAGGCAGCAGUGGGGAAUCUUGCGCAAUGGGCGAAAGCCUGACGCAGCGACGCCGCGUGA
rnacentral:rRNA from 1 species